GCACAAGCGGUGGAUGAUGUGGUUAAUUCGAUGCAACGCGAAAACCUUACCCACCUUUGACAUGUACGGAAGUUGCCAGAGAUGGCUUCGUGCUCGAAAGAGAGCCGUAACACAGGUGCUGCAUGGCUGUCGUCAGCUCGUGUCGUGAGAUGUUGGGUUAAGUCCCGCAACGAGCGCAACCCUUGUCAUUAGUUGCUACGAAAGGGCACUCUAAUGAGACUGCCGGUGACAAACCGGAGGAAGGUGGGGAUGACGUCAAGUCCUCAUGGCCCUUAUAGGUGGGGCUACACACGUCAUACAAUGGCUGGUACAAAGGGUUGCCAACCCGCGAGGGGGAGCCAAUCCCAUAAAGCCAGUCGUAGUCCGGAUCGCAGUCUGCAACUCGACUGCGUGAAGUCGGAAUCGCUAGUAAUCGCGGAUCAGCAUGUCGCGGUGAAUACGUUCCCGGGCCUU
rnacentral:rRNA from 1 species